CAGCAGCCGCCGCGGUAAUACGAAGGGUGCAAGCGUUAAUCGGAAUUACUGGGCGUAAAGCGCGCGUAGGUGGUUUGGUAAGAUGGAUGUGAAAUCCCCGGGCUCAACCUGGGAACUGCAUCCAUAACUGCCUGACUAGAGUACGGUAGAGGGUGGUGGAAUUUCCUGUGUAGCGGUGAAAUGCGUAGAUAUAGGAAGGAACACCAGUGGCGAAGGCGACCACCUGGACUGAUACUGACACUGAGGUGCGAAAGCGUGGGGAGCAAACAGGAUUAGAUACCCGUGUAGUCCCUGUCUCUUAUAC
rnacentral:rRNA from 1 species